rfam:Daphnia pulex DAPPTscaffold_1141_Cont12017, whole genome shotgun sequence.
GGGGAUGUAGCUCAGAUGGUAGAGCGCUCGCUUAGCAUGUGAGAAGUACGGGGAUCGAUAUCCUGCAUCUCCA